UUUGAAUGAGGCAGAGAAACAUUCCAAGCAGGGAGAUGACCAGGCUUCCUAGUGAAUGUGAGAUCCCCUGGGAAUACGCAUAGAGCAAAUAGAAGAGUGACAACUGAGAUCUACACCACUCCAAAAUUUAGAUAUCGAGAAGAUGAAGAGGAGGCCUGGAAAUGUAUCUGAGAAGGGAUGACUAGUAAGAUACAAAAAUUGCCAAGAGAGAGUAGGCUCUUGAAUGCCAAGUGAAGAGAAUGUUUCAAGGAUCCAUUGUUCAACUUUGACAUGCUACUGAGAGUUUGACUCAAGGUACUUUCUUCAGGCCAGUGGAAUGAUUCUUGCAGAGAGCCAAAGUGCCUGAGAGUUUAUAUCAUUCCAGGGAAGACCUUUCCAGUGACAUACAGGGUGGCAACUUUCUGGAAGAAGAAGAAAACAAUUUAGGAGAUGCCGUAAUUUGGCAUGUGUAUCUGGAGACGGGAUGGAGAAGGCACCAAUGGGAAGAUGGGGCUGAAAGUAGGACUUUACUGACCUUGAAGAAGAGAAAAGGACAGAUGUUAACUAAGCACCUCCUUGCAAAUGCCUGCAUAUAAAUUAAUUCUUCACCAGUCCUCUUCUGGGCUUUCUUUCUGGCUGAAUACCAGAAGGCUGCCUUUGCCUGCAACUGAGGUGUGAGUUGCAUCCAUUAGGAUUUCUAACUGAGAGGUCCUUGGAAAGGAGGAGGUCCUGGAAACAAUGGCUUAAAGUGAAGUGCUCCUGGAGGCUUUGCAAAUUUAUCAAUUCAUUCUCUUGGAAAGUGUUACUGUAUUAAUAUUUAUGUUCCUGGGGAAAGAUUAUGAAAAUGGAAUAGUGGAAGAGUCAUUUUUACUGCCUCAAUCCAUUUGCAUCAACGCUCUAAAGGAAUAUAUAUGUAUUUUUAUUUUUUAACAUUGCUUCUUCAUGAGCAAAAGAGAAGAAGUUAUGUUCCCUGAAAUGAGGUCUUAAUUUUUCAAAGCAGAAUCAAUAGGCUGCCACAUUUCAGGAAAGAAAGAAGAUGCUGCAAUUGGUCUGGAACCUGCUAAUUGACAGCACAGUGGAUUCUCCUUUGUCUUUCAUCCUGUUCUGUUGAGAAAAGGCAGUUAGGAAGAGGAAGCCCAGCAUCCGCUCUCACUACUUAAACCCUCCCUCAUCCAUCUACAUCCCUGUUCAAACCACAAAUACUCGACUUCCCAGCCCCUUGACAGGAGCUUUCAUAUAUUGCCUAACAUGAACUG